AGUUUCGGAGUCUGUUAGCAAAAUCUCGAUGGUGAGGCGAUAUUUUUCCUGGUUAAAAUAUCGAGUUCGACGUUUCUAAGAAUGGAUUCAAAUCGAGUCGCUUAACAACACUAGCUCAUUAAAAGGCUUUGUGAGUUAAGCCUUAGCAGUGCAGAACCUUCAUCACAUUGUCGUGAUGCAACAAGAACAAACCACUUAAAUUGUAUGAAUAAAUAAAUGAUGGAAAAGUAAAUCUUCGCAUAUAGAAUGGUAAAGAAGUGGAUGAAUAUAACAAAUGAUUAUCUGUCCCAAUUUAUGUGGUCUUAAGAAUUUAGAAAUGGUGGACUCCAGUAGAAAUAGUUAUAGGGGAUCGGAUGGUGUGCCAUUCCUCGGGGGUUACCAUCACCACGAAUUUAAUGGCCCUUUCGUUGCGAAACAUUUCGUAAGACCAGCGCCUGAUGCUUCUCAUACAUUUGACGGCAGCUAUCCCAUUGUUGGCUAUCAGAAUCUGCACGAUUUGAUUGAUCGAUACAAUAAAUCAUUUUCAUCAAUUAUUUAUUAAAAACUAAAAAAAAAAUAUUUCAUCUUCCUUCCAUUCAUUCUCUCU